GAUGAACGCUGGCGGCGUGCCUAAUACAUGCAAGUCGAGCGAACAGAUGAGGAGCUUGCUCCUCUGACGUUAGCGGCGGACGGGUGAGUAACACGUGGAUAACCUACCUAUAAGACUGGGAUAACUUCGGGAAACCGGAGCUAAUACCGGAUAAUAUAUUGAACCGCAUGGUUCAAUAGUGAAAGACGGUUUUGCUGUGACUUAUAGAUGGAUCCGCGCCGCAUUAGCUAGUUGGUAAGGUAACGGCUUACCAAGGCAACGAUGCGUAGCCGACCUGAGAGGGUGGUCGGCCACACUGGAACUGAGACACGGUCCAGACUCCUACGGGAGGCAGCAGUAGGGAAUCUUCCGCAAUGGGCGAAAGCCUGACGGAGCAACGCCGCGUGAGUGAUGAAGGUCUUCGGAUCGUAAAACUCUGUUAUUAGGGAAGAACAAAUGUGUAAGUAACUAUGCACGUCUUGACGGUACCUAAUCAGAAAGCCACGGCUAACUACGUG
rnacentral:rRNA from 1 species